GACGAACGCUGGCGGCGUGCUUAACACAUGCAAGUCGAACGGAGUUUCUUAAUUAGAACCCUUCGGGGGGAAGAUUUUGAAACUUAGUGGCGGACGGGUGAGUAACACGUGGGUAACCUGCCCCAUAAACUGGGACAACAGUUGGAAACGACUGCUAAUACCGGAUAUUCUCGGAAGAAGGCAUCUUUUUUCGAGGAAAGGUGGCCUCUGAUUCAAGCUAUCGAUAUGGGAUGGACCCGCGUCUGAUUAGCUAGUUGGUAGGGUAACGGCCUACCAAGGCGACGAUCAGUAGCCGGCCUGAGAGGGUGACCGGCCACAUUGGGGACUGAGACACGGCCCAAACUCCUACGGGAGGCAGCAGUGGGGAAUCUUCCGCAAUGGGCUAAGCCUGACGGGGGCAACGCCGCGUGGAUGAAGAAGGUCUUCGGAUCGUAAAGUUCUGUCUUUAGGGAAGAAGUCU
rnacentral:rRNA from 1 species